GUGCUCACUUUGGCAGCACAUACACUAAAAUCGGAGUGAUAUGGAGAUUAGCAUGGCUCCUGAUCAAGGAUGACAUGCAAAUUCAUGAAGUGUUCCAUAUUUAA